rnacentral:rRNA from 1 species
AUGGGGUCGCUGGGGAAGGACGCGGCGGCGGCGGCGGCGGCGGCGGAGCGGGUGGUGCUGGCGGUGAACGGUGCGCGGCACGAGGCGGCCGGCGUCGACCCGUCGACGACGCUGCUGGAGUUCCUCCGCGCGCGGACGCCCGUCAGGGGGCCCAAGCUCGGCUGCGGCGAAGGUGGAUGCGGCGCAUGCGUGGUGCUCAUCUCCAAGUACGACCCGGCCACCGACGAGGUGACCGAGUUCUCGGCGAGCUCCUGCCUGACGCUCGUCGGCAGUCUGAACCACUGCUCGGUCACCACCAGCGAGGGCAUCGGCAACACCCGGGAUGGCUACCACCCCGUUCAGCAGCGCCUCGCCGGCUUCCACGCCUCCCAGUGCGGCUUCUGCACACCCGGCAUGUGCAUGUCCAUCUUCUCCUCGCUCGUCAAAGCCGACAAGCCCGGUGAUCACGCCCCGCCUCCGGGGUUCUCCAAGCUUACCUGCUCUGAGGCCGAGCACGCAGUUUCCGGCAAUCUGUGCCGCUGCACCGGCUACCGGCCUAUCCUCGAUGCCUGCAAGAGCUUCGCUGCCGACGUCGACCUCGAGGACCUCGGCCUCAACUCGUUCUGGAAGAAAGGCACCGACCGCGCCGACGUCGGCAAGCUGCCGGAAUACUCCAGCGGCUCUGUCUGCACCUUCCCUGAGUUCCUCAAGUCCGAGAUCAAGGGUCAAAUGAACGAUAUUCCAGCGGCGAUCGCCGGCGAAGACGGUUGGUACCAUCCCAGGAGCAUCCAGGAGCUCCAUAGCCUCUUCGAUUCCAACUGGUUCGACGAAAAUUCAGUCAAGAUCGUGGCGUCAAACACCGGCGCCGGCGUGUACAAGGAUCAAGACCUGUACGAUAAGUACAUCGAUAUCAAAGAGAUCGUAGAGCUUUCGGUCAUCAACAGAAGCAGCAAGGGGGUGGAGAUCGGGGCAGCCGUGUCCAUCUCCAAAGCCAUCGAGGUCUUCUCCGAUGGCACUCCGGUAUUCAGAAAGAUCGCCAGUCACCUGAGCAAGGUGGCCUCGCCGUUCGUCCGAAACACGGCGACCGUCGGCGGGAACGUGAUCAUGGCACAACGACUGCAGUUCCCGUCGGACAUAGCCACCGUUCUUCUUGCCGCCGGCUCCACCGUCAGCAUCCAGACGGCUUCCAAGAUGCUCUGCCUGACGCUCGAUGAGUUCUUGGAGCAGCCUCCCUGUGAUGCCAAGACCAUACUGCUCAGCAUAUUUGUCCCGGAUUGGGGUUCAGACAAUGUCAUCUUCGAGACCUCUCGCGUAGCUCCCAGACCAUUUGGCAAUGCCGUCUCCUAUGUCAAUUCUGCAUUCCUGGCAAGGACUUCAGGCGAUGGAGCAUCAGGGGAGCUCAUAAUUGAGGAUAUCUGCCUUGCAUUCGGCGCAUACGGUGUCGAUCAUACCACCCGGGCUCGGAAGGUUGAAGAGUUCUUGAAGGGGAAAUCAGUGAGUGCACCUGUGAUACUUGAAGCUGUUCGAUUGCUGAAGGAUACUAUCAUGCCGUCAGAAGGCACCACACACCCUGAAUACAGAGUCAGCUUGGCUGUCAGUUUCUUGUUCAGUUUCCUUUCUUCACUUGGAAACAACCUGAUUGAACCAGCAAAGGCUAUUGCUCCCAAUGGGCCAUGUGCAAAUGGAAGCAUGAAUGGUCAGGUUGCGAGCAAAGACUUGCAGAUUCGCUCAAGGCAAGAACUGGUUUUCAAUGACGAAUACAAACCUGUCGGCAAGCCGAUCACGAAAUCCGGGGCUGAGCUGCAAGCUUCUGGGGAGGCUGUGUAUGUUGAUGACAUCCCUGCUCCCAAGGAUUGCCUCUAUGGAGCAUUUAUCUACAGCACACACCCUCAUGCCCAUAUAAAAAGUGUCAACUUCAGAUCAUCUUUGGAUUCAGAAAAGGUCAUCGGGGUUAUCACCGCAAAGGAUAUUCCAGCCGGUGGCAAAAAUGUUGGAGCUGGCAUCAAUAUGUUAGGAACCGAAGCUCUUUUCGGCGAUCCGGUUUCUGAAUUUGCUGGUCAAAAUAUUGGCAUUGUGAUCGCUGAAACACAGAAGUAUGCCUACAUGGCGGCGAAGCAAGCGGUCAUCGAGUAUAGCACCGAGAAUCUUGAGCCGCCGAUUCUGACAAUAGAAGAUGCCAUCCGGCAGAACAGCUACUUCCAAAUCCCCCCAUAUUUUGCUCCUCGGCCAGUUGGGGACUUCGAGCAAGGGAUGUCUCAAGCUGAUCACAAGAUCCUAUCAGGAGAGGUGAAACUUGAAACACAGUACUACUUCUACAUGGAGACUCAGACCGCAUUGGCCAUCCCCGACGAAGAUAACUGCAUCACCGUCUACUCCUCUACGCAGCUACCCGAGAUCAUUCAGAAUGUCGUCGCGGACUGCCUCGGCAUUCCCUACCACAAUGUUCGCGUCAUCACAAGGAGAGUUGGAGGCGGCUUUGGUGGAAAGGGAAUGAAAUCAACCCAUGUAGCAUGUGCGUGUGCAGUUGCAGCGUUCAAGCUGCGGCGCCCUGUUCGGAUGUACCUCGAUCGGAAGACGGACAUGAUCAUGGCCGGAGGGCGGCACCCGAUGAAGGCGAAGUACUCCGUCGGGUUCAAGUCGGAUGGCACGCUCACGGCUCUGCACGUCGAUCUUGGGAUAAACGCCGGGAUAUCGCCGGACUUGAGCCCGAUGAUCCCGGCUGCCACCAUCGCUUCUCUGAAGAAGUACAACUGGGGCGCCCUCGGCUUCGACAUCAAGCUGUGCAAGACGAACGUAUCGUCCAAGUCAGCCGUGCGGGCGCCCGGCGACGUGCAGGGCUCCUUCAUCGCCGAGGCCAUCAUCGAGCACGUCGCGUCCGCGCUCGGGGCCGACACCAACGCCGUCCGGAGAAAGAACCUCCACAGCGUCGAGAGCCUCACGCAGUUCUACGGCGACGCCGCGGGGGACGCCCCAACGUACAGCCUCAUCGACAUCUUCGACAAGCUGGCCUCGUCGCCGGAGUACCGGAGCAGGGCGGAGGCAGUUGAGCGGUUCAAUGGCGGGAGCAGGUGGAAGAAGCGCGGCAUUUCGUGCGUGCCGAUCACCUACGAGGUGGCCCUCCGGCCGACGCCGGGGAAGGUGUCCAUCCUGAACGACGGCUCGAUCGCUGUGGAGGUCGGCGGCGUGGAGCUCGGGCAAGGGCUGUAUACCAAGGUGAAGCAGAUGACGGCGUUCGGGCUGCGGGAGCUCUGUCCCGACGCCGACGGGCUGCUCGACAAGGUGCGCGUCAUUCAGGCCGACACGCUGAGCUUGAUCCAGGGCAGCUUAACCGGCGGGAGCACCACGUCCGAGAGCAGUUGCGAGGCGGUCCGACAGUCGUGCGCCGUGCUCGUCGAGCGCCUCAAGCCCAUCAAAGAGGGCCUCGAGGCCAAGUCAGGCGCUGCGGCGCCAUGGAGCGCCUUGAUCGCCCAGGCGAAGAUGGCGAGCGUGAACCUGUCGGCCCACGCCUACUGGAAGCCCGACCCAGCCUUCGUAAAAUACAUCAACUAUGGGGCCGCCGUCAGCGAGGUGGAAAUCGACGUGCUGACCGGAGCGACGACGAUCCUGAGGAGCGAUCUGGUGUACGACUGCGGGCAGAGCCUGAACCCGGCGGUGGACCUCGGCCAGGUGGAGGGCGCAUUCGUGCAAGGGGUUGGCUUCUUCACGAACGAGGACUACGCGACGAACGCCGACGGGCUGGUGGUGAACGACGGCACGUGGACGUACAAGAUCCCAACGGUGGACACCAUCCCGAAGCAGUUCAACGUGGAGCUCAUCAGCAGCGCGCGCGACAAGAAGCGGGUGCUCUCCUCCAAGGCGUACGGCGAGCCGCCGCUGCUCCUGGCAGCGUCGGUGCACUGUGCCAUGCGGGAGGCCAUCAGGGCGGCCAGAACCGACUUCUCGGUCAACUCACCGCUGACGUUCCAGAUGGACGUGCCGGCGACCAUGGCCGACGUCAAGGAGCUCUGCGGGCUCGAUGUCGUGGAGAGGCACCUCCAGAGCCUCUCCUCCGCCGCCGAGGUCCCGGCUCCUCCCGUGGCAUGA